UACGUAGGUGGCAAGCGUUGUCCGGAUUUACUGGGCGUAAAGAGCGCGCAGGCGGUCGGAUAAGUCGAAUGUGAAAGCCCCCGGCUCAACUGGGGAGGGUCAUUCGAUACUGUUCGACUCGAAGGCAGGAGAGGGAAGUGGAAUUCCUGGUGUAGCGGUGGAAUGCGCAGAUAUCAGGAGGAACACCGGUGGCGAAGGCGGGAUCGUCCUGGGCCG
rnacentral:rRNA from 1 species